rnacentral:lncRNA from 1 species
ACAUGGUAUCAGAAAAACAAAACAGAAGCGUUCCUCAUUCUCCUUCGUGAAGCAGCCGCCGCCGCCUUCCUCAUUCUCCUUCGUGAAGCAGCCGCCGCCGCCGCCACCGGACCUUCGUCCUCUACAUACCGCCGCUGCCGCCGCCACAGGACCUUCGUCCUCUACAUACCGCCGCCGCCGAACACAUCCUCUUUUCUGUUCGCGCCGCCGCCGUCGCACCACCGUGCACGAAAACCACCGCCGAAUCC